CCCGCCCCAGCGGUGGAGCAUGUGGUUUUUCGAAGCAACGCGAAGACCUUCCCGGUCUCCCAUCCUCUGACAAUCCUAGAGAUAGGACGUCCCCUUCGGGGGCAGAGUGACAGGUGGUGCAAAAAAGUCAGCUCGUGUCGUGAGAUGUUGGGUUAAGUCCCGCAACGAGCGCAACCCUUGAUCUUAGUUGCCAGCAUUCAGUUGGGCACUCUAAGGUGACUGCCGGUGACAAACCGGAGGAAGGUGGGGAUGACGUCAAAUCAUCAUGCCCCUUAUGACCUGGGCUACACACGUGCUCAUGGCAACAAAGGGCGGGAAACCGCGAGGUUAAG
rnacentral:rRNA from 2 species